rnacentral:rRNA from 1 species
AACGAACGCUGGCGGCAGGCCUAACACAUGCAAGUCGAGCGAGCAUUUCGGUGCUAGCGGCGGACGGGUGCGUAACGCGUGGGAACGUGCCCUUUUCUGCGGAAUAGUCCUGGGAAACUGGGGGUAAUGCCGCAUACGCCCUUUUGGGGAAAGAUUUAUCGGAGAAGGAUCGGCCCGCGUUGGAUUAGGUAGUUGGUGGGGUAAUGGCCCACCAAGCCGACGAUCCAUAGCUGGUUUGAGAGGAUGAUCAGCCACACUGGGACUGAGACACGGCCCAGACUCCUACGGGAGGCAGCAGUGGGGAAUCUUAGACAAUGGGGGCAACCCUGAUCUAGCCAUGCCGCGUGAGUGAUGAAGGCCUUAGGGUUGUAAAGCUCUUUCAGCUGGGAAGAUAAUGACGGUACCAGCAGAAGAAGCCCCGGCUAACUCCGUG